ACUACCUUCACCCUGGCUGGGAAGGAAGUUAAGUGCCCUCCCAUAAAUUUGUCCGGACUAAAGGAGGUGCCGGACCAUCAGUUCCCGGAAAAUUGGUGGUGUACCUGUAUUGUAAUAAUUAUAGAAAGCUGGAUGUCCGACCUGUUGUAGAAAUAUCUGGCCGGAUUGUUAUCGUAUAUCAUCCGGCCCAUCCCUAGCCCCAUGUCUGAUAAAAUUCCCAAAUUGAUCAUCUAGUUGAGAAUAAAACUUUUAUUUUUUCAAAGUUUCUUGUUAAUUUAUUCCUACAUCUUUAAUUUCACCACACCAGAUGCCACUUGACCUGUCCACUCUCUCUGAGGCUGAAAGGAGGAAACGUCUAGAAGCCCGUAAACCUAAACUAAAGGUAGUGAUUGAAGAUGAUCUUGAUGAUGACUUUAACCUCUCUACCUAUGAACACCUAUGGAAGAAGUAAUAUUCACUGUACUUGGAAGUUUUUAGAAAAUU